UUUUUUCAGAUGCUGGAGUUGAUCUCAGCAAACCUGUGAUCUGUAUGUGUCUUGGUGGAAUGUCUUCAUGUUCGCUGCUUCUUGCAGCUCAUCUUUGUGGCUGCCCUGAUACUGCUCUCUAUCUUGGUAGUUUUACUGAGUGGAAAGCAAGAGCUGAUCCAACUCAAAU